UACGUAGGGUGCGAGCGUUAAUCGGAAUUACUGGGCGUAAAGCGUGCGCAGGCGGUUGUGUAAGACAGAUGUGAAAUCCCCGGGCUCAACCUGGGAACUGCAUUUGUGACUGCAUCGCUGGAGUACGGCGAGAGGGGGAUGGAAUUCCGCGUGUAGCAGUGAAAUGCGUAGAUAUGCGGAGGAACACCGAUGGCGAAGGCAAUCCCCUGGGCCUGUACUGACGCUCAUGCACGAAAGCGUGGGGAGCAAACAGG
rnacentral:rRNA from 1 species